rnacentral:rRNA from 1 species
CGUAGGGCGCAAGCGUUAUCCGGAAUUAUUGGGCGUAAAGAGCUCGUAGGCGGUUUGUCGCGUCUGCCGUGAAAGUCCGGGGCUCAACUCCGGAUCUGCGGUGGGUACGGGCAGGCUAGAGUGAUGUAGGGGAGACUGGAAUUCCUGGUGUAGCGGUGAAAUGCGCAGAUAUCAGGAGGAACACCGAUGGCGAAGGCAGGUCUCUGGGCAUUAACUGACGCUGAGGAGCGAAAGCAUGGGGAGCGAACAGGAUUAGAUACCCUGGUAGUCCAUGCCGUAAACGUUGGGCACUAGGUGUGGGGGACAUUCCACGUUUUCCGCGCCGUAGCUAACGCAUUAAGUGCCCCGCCUGGGGAGUACGGCCGCAAGGCUA